rnacentral:rRNA from 1 species
UACGUAGGGUGCAAGCGUUGUCCGGAAUUAUUGGGCGUAAAGAGCGUGUAGGCGGCCAGACAGGUCCGUUGUGAAAACUCGAGGCUCAACCUCGAGAUGUCGAUGGAAACCGUCUGGCUAGAGUCCGGAAGAGGAGUGUGGAAUUCCUGGUGUAGCGGUGAAAUGCGCAGAUAUCAGGAAGAACACCUAUGGCGAAGGCAGCUCGCUGGGACGUGACUGACGCUGAGACGCGAAAGCGUGGGGAGCAAACAGG